GAUGAACGCUGACAGAAUGCUUAACACAUGCAAGUCUUUGGCGAAGCUGUGCUUGCACAGCCUAGCCAAGGCGGACGGGUGAGUAACGCGUAAGGAACUUGCCCUGCAGUCAGGGAUAACAGACGGAAACGACUGAUAAGACCUGGUAAAGUCAGGCGGACUCAUGUCCAGCCUGAUGAAAAGAGAUGCUGCAGGAGAGCCUUGCGUCCUAUUAGCUUGUUGGUGGGGUAACGGCCCACCAAGGCGAUGAUAGGUAGCCGGCCUGAGAGGGUGGACGGCCACAAGGGGACUGAGAUACGGCCCUUACUCCUACGGGAGGCAGCAGUGGGGAAUAUUGGACAAUGGUGGCAACCCUGAUCCAGCAAUUCUGUGUGCACGAUGAAGGUUUUCGGAUUGUAAAGUGCUUUCAGCAGGGAAGAAAAAAAUGACGGUACCUGCAGAAGAAGCUACGGCUAAAUACGUG
rnacentral:rRNA from 1 species